rnacentral:rRNA from 1 species
UGGUGUGUUGGACACCUGGCGAUGACGGAUAACGGGGAAUUAGGGUUCGAUUCCGGGGGGGGAGCCUGAGAAAUGGCUACCACAUCUAAGGAAGGCAGCAGGCGCGUAAAUUACCCAAUCCUAAUUCAGGGAGGUAGUGACAAGAAAUAACAACUCGGACCUCACACGAGUUACGGGAUUGCAAUGAGAACAAUUUAAACCACUUAUCGAGCAACAAUUGGAGGGCAAGUCUGGUGCCAGCAGCCGCGGUAAUUCCAGCUCCAAUAGCGUAUAUUAAAGUUGUUGCAGUUAAAAAGCUCGUAGUUGAAUUUCUGGCCAGCGCUGUUCUUGGCUCUCUGAGUCGGCUCAUUGUUUGGUCAUCCGUAUGGGAAGCUAGCUCGGCCUUCACUGGUCGGCUAGUGGAUCAUACACUUUACUUUGAAAAAAUUAUAGUGUUUCAGGCAGGCAAUUGCUUGGAUACUUCAGCAUGGAAUAAUGGAAUAGGACUUUGACCUAUUUGUUGGUUUCUUCGAGGUCAAGGUAAUGAUUAAUAGGGACAGUUGGGGGCAUUCGUAUUUAAUUGUCAGAGGUGAAAUUCUUGGAUUUAUUAAAGACGAACUUAUGCGAAAGCAUUUGCCAAGGAUGUUUUCAUUAAUCAAGAACGAAAGUUAGGGGAUCAAAGACGAUC